rfam:Camelus ferus unplaced genomic scaffold scaffold1159, whole genome shotgun sequence.
GAGGGUAUAGCUCAGGGGUGGAGCCCAUGCUUAGCAUGCAUGAGGUCCUGGGUUCAAUCCCCAGCACCUCCA